rnacentral:rRNA from 1 species
GUGGCAGCCGCCGCGGUAAUACGUAGGGGGCGAGCGUUGCUCGGAAUUACUGGGCGUAAAGGGUGUGUAGGCGGCUGAGCAAGUCAAAGAUGAAAUCCCGAGGCUUAACUUCGGAACUGUUUUUGAUACUGUUCAGCUUGAGGAUAGUCGAGGAGAAUGGAAUUCCCGGUGGAGCAGUGGAAUGCGUAGAUAUCGGGAGGAACACCAGAGGCGAAGGCGAUUCUCUAUGCUAAUCCUGACGCUGAAACACGAAAGGCAGGGGAGCAAACGGGAAUAGAAACCCCGGUAGUCCUAGGUGUAA